rnacentral:rRNA from 1 species
GACGGGCCCGCGGCGGAUUAGCUUGUUGGUGGGGUAACGGCCUACCAAGGCGACGAUCCGUAGCUGGUCUGAGAGGACGAUCAGCCACACUGGGACUGAGACACGGCCCAGACUCCUACGGGAGGCAGCAGUGGGGAAUCUUGCGCAAUGGGCGAAAGCCUGACGCAGCGACGCCGCGUGGGGGAAGAAGGCUUUCGGGUUGUAAACCCCUUUCAGGAAGGACGAAGCCACUCGGGUGAAUAGCCCAGAGGGUGACGGUACUUCCAGAAGAAGCCCCGGCUAACUACGUGCCAGCAGCCGCGGUAAUACGUAGGGGGCAAGCGUUGUCCGGAUUUAUUGGGCGUAAAGAGCGUGUAGGCGGUUUGGUAGGUCCGCUGUGAAAACUCGAGGCUCAACCUCGAGACGCCGGUGGAAACCAUCAGACUAGAGUCCGGAAGAGGAGAGUGGAAUUCCUGGUGUAGCGGUGAAAUGCGCAGAUAUCAGGAAGAACACCCGUGGCUAAGGCGGCUCUCUAGUACGGUACUGACGCUGAGACGCGAAAGCGUGGGGAGCGAACAGGAUUAGAUACCCUGGUAGUCCACGCCGUAAACGAUGGGUGCUAGGUGU